GGCGGCGGUCUCUUCCCUGCCGCCCGCCCCGCUGCUUGUUGCCUCCUUAGGAGGCACGGAAAAUGCCAGGAGCUAGUUGUUAGUGCCUGGAGUCAGCUUGAGAUUGGGCCUCCCCUACCAACCAUUCCCCACCCAGGUAAAAGCAAUUUGGGAUUCUUUUGAAGACCUACUGAGUGGCGCUUCAGAGAUCCUGUGUUAUAGGUUUUGUUCUAAUAUCAUUUGAAAAGAUUCUUUCCCAUGUCAAAAGUCAAUUUACCAGCCAGGUGUGGGGGCAUGUGCUUGUAUGGCUAGCACUGGGGAG
rnacentral:lncRNA from 1 species